rnacentral:rRNA from 1 species
GUGAGGAAUAUUGCGCAAUGGAGGCAACUCUGACGCAGUCAUGCCGCGUGCAGGAAGAAGGCGCUACGCGUUGUAAACUGCUUUUAACCGGGAAGAAACCCCAGGACGUGUCCUGGGUUGACGGUACCGGAGGAAUAAGCACCGGCUAACUUCGUGCCAGCAGCCGCGGUAAUACGAAGGGUGCAAGCGUUAUCCGGAUUCAUUGGGUUUAAAGGGUGCGUAGGCGGAGCGUUAAGUCAGUGGUGAAAUCCUGCAGCUUAACUGUAGACUUGCCAUUGAUACUGGCGCUCUUGAGUGCGCUUGAAGUGGGCGGAAUGUGCCGUGUAGCGGUGAAAUGCUUAGAUAUGGCACAGAACACCAAUUGCGAAGGCAGCUCACUAAGGCGAUACUGACGCUGAGGCACGAAAGCGUGGGGAUCGAACAGGAUUAGAAACCCUUGUAGUCC